rnacentral:rRNA from 1 species
ACGGGUGAGUAACGCGUGGGAAUCUACCGUACCCUACGGAAUAGCUCUGGGAAACUGGAAGUAAUACCGUAUACGCCCUAACGGGGAAAGAUUUAUCGGGGUAUGAUGAGCCCGCGUUGGAUUAGCUAGUUGGUGGGGUAAAGGCCUACCAAGGCGACGAUCCAUAGCUGGUCUGAGAGGAUGAUCAGCCACAUUGGGACUGAGACACGGCCCAAACUCCUACGGGAGGCAGCAGUGGGGAAUAUUGGACAAUGGGCGAAAGCCUGAUCCAGCCAUGCCGCGUGAGUGAUGAAGGUCUUAGGAUUGUAAAGCUCUUUCAACGGUGAAGGUAAUGACGGUAACCGUAGAGGAAGCCCCGGCUAACUUCGUGCCAGCAGCCGCGGUAAUACGAAGGGGGCUAGCGUUGUUCGGAAUUACUGGGCGUAAAGCGCACGUAGGCGGGUAUUUAAGUCAGGGGUGAAAUCCCGCAGCUCAACUGCGGAACUGCCUUUGAUACUGGGUAUCUUGAGUAUGGAAGAGGUAAGUGGAAUUGCGAGUGUAGAGGUGAAAUUCGUAGA